rnacentral:rRNA from 1 species
GACGAACGCUGGCGGCGUGCCUAAUACAUGCAAGUCGAACGCAGUGGGGACGGGUGAGUAACACGUGGGUAACCUCCCAUCAGAGGGGAUAACACUUGGAAAAAGGUGCUAAACCGAUACUGAUGGAUGAACCCGCGGGGCAUUAGCUAGUGGGGGAGGUAACGGCUCACCAAGGCCAGGAUGCAUAGCCGACCGGAGAGGGUGACCGGCAACACUGGAACUGAGAAACGGCCCAGACUCCUACGGGAGGCAGCAGUGGGGAAUUUUCGGCAAUGGACGAAAGUCGGACCGAGCAAGGCCGCGUGAGUGAAGAAGGUUUUCGGAUCGUAAAACUCUGUUGUUAGGGAAGCGGUAUCUAACCAGAAAGCCACGGCUAACUACGUGCCAGCAGCCGCGGUAAUUC